GUAAGACAUGACUCUGCUCCUCAUUCACCUUCCACCAUGAUUAUGAGGACUCCCCAGCCACGUGGAACUUCUGAAGGACCUGCCCAGGGGAAGAAGUAAACCACCUCUUACCUUUCCGACCAUCUCAGAACCACGAGGAAAUAGGAAGUGAGGCCUGGUAUGCAGAGGGACGACUCAAACAGGUGAUUAAGGAAUUAACCAGUCACUUGUUGGAGGAUAAUGCCUCAGUGAGCAAGAGGCAUCCCGAGUUCAUAGCAGACAAGGACGCCUGACAGCUCUGGUGGUCCCUGACAAGUCUGACACCCACGGAGAAGCCUGAGGGGACGAAGCUGGCCUGGGUGAUGGGCGCCAUGUUGGAUCCCAGGGAGGCAGGAAGGCACCAGGCAACGCCCCUGACUGGGAGUCAUCCCAGGCCAGCGUCUUCCUGUUUGCUCAGGAAGAAACAUUCAUUUUCUCUGGCCUCAGCCUCCUAAACUGAAAAAAAUAAUGUUGUUCCACUCUAAGAAUACUGCUGCGGGCUAAUUUAUUCAUGGCUGUGACACACAUAGCUUUCUUUAAAAUAAAGUCCCUGGUGUCAUUUUUAAUAGGGUCAUAAAUGCAACUCGAAGAAACUGUCUUUUUGCAUCUACCUGUGAUUGUUUCUUUGUAUCAGUCAGGGUAGUCUGGGUUAUUCUGUGGUAACAGGCAGUGCCCAAAUCUCACUGUUUUAAAACAAUGAAGGUUGUUGUAGGCUGAACUGUGUCUUCAGAUGUGGUCACAUUCUGAGGUGCAUAUGGAUUUU
rnacentral:lncRNA from 1 species